rnacentral:rRNA from 1 species
UGACGGGUAGCCGGCCUGAGAGGGUGACCGGCCACAUUGGGACUGAGAUACGGCCCAGACUCCUACGGGAGGCAGCAGUGAGGAAUCUUGCGCAAUGGGCGAAAGCCUGACGCAGCCACGCCGCGUGCCGGAUGAAGGCCCUAUGGGUUGUAAACGGCUUUUAAGCAGGAAGAACGACCGGAUUUCGAUCUGGUGUGACGGUACUGCUUGAAUAAGCACCGGCUAACUCCGUGCCAGCAGCCGCGGUAAUACGGAGG